UUUGACGGCCAAAGUGGCGGGGCCACACCUGGUCUCAUCCCGAACCCAGAAGUUAAGCCCGCCUACGUUCUUUGCGGUACUGAGGUGCGCGAGCCCUCGGGAAGCUCAAGGUCCUUGCGACC
rnacentral:rRNA from 1 species